UCUUGUGCUUGCACAAGAGGAAAGUGGCGGACGGGUGAGUAAUGUGUAGAGAAUCUGCCCUGAAGAGGAGGACAACAGAGGGAAACUUCUGCUAAUACCCCAUAUGCGCGUAGUUGAGAUACUAUUCGUGAAAGAUUUAUCGCUUCAGGAUGAGUCUGCAUCUGAUUAGCUAGUUGGGGGUGUAAUGGACCACCAAGGCGACGAUCAGUAGCUGGUUUGAGAGGAUGAUCAGCCACAAUGGGACUGAGACACGGCCCAUACUCCUACGGGAGGCAGCAGUAGGGAAUUUUGCGCAAUGGGCGAAAGCCUGACGCAGCAACGCCGCGUGAUCGCAGACGGCCUUCGGGUUGUAAAGAUCUGUCAGUAGGGACGAACAAUGACUGUACCUACAGAGGAAGCACCGGCUAACUCCGUGCCAGCAGCCGCGGUAAUACGGGGGGUGCGAGCGUUGUCCGGAAUCAUUGGGCGUAACGAGUUCGUANGUGGUUU
rnacentral:rRNA from 1 species